rnacentral:rRNA from 1 species
CGGGGAGGCGUCGAGCGGCGAACGGGUGAGUAACGCGUAGGAAUCUGCCUGAUAGUGGGGGGUAGCCCGGGGAAACCCGGAUUAAUACCGCAUACGCCCCACGGGGGAAAGGCCGGGAUCUUCGGACCGGUCACUAUUGGAGGAGCCUGCGUAGGAUUAGCUAGUUGGUGAGGUAAAGGCUCACCAAGGCGACGAUCAGUAGCUGGUCUGAGAGGAUGGACAGCCACAUUGGGACUGAGACACGGCCCAGACUCC